rnacentral:rRNA from 1 species
GAGCUUGCUCUUAUGGGUGGCGAGUGCCUGAUGGGUGAGGAAUACAUCGGAAUCUACUCUUUCGUGGGCCUUUACGUAGGGAAACUUACGCUAAUACCGCAUACGACCUACGGGUGAAAGCGGAGGACCUUCGGGCUUCGCGCGAUUGAAUGAGCCGAUGUCGGAUUAGCUAGUUGGCGGGGUAGAGGCCCACCAAGGCGACGAUCCGUAGCUGGUCUGAGAGGAUGAUCAGCCACACUGGAACUGAGACACGGUCCAGACCCCUACGGGAGGCAGCAGUGGGGAAUAUUGGACAAUGGGCGCAAGCCUGAUCCAGCCAUGCCGCGUGGGUGAAGAAGGCCUUCGGGUUGUAAAGCCCUUUUGUUGGGAAAGAAAAGCAGUCGGUUAAUACCCGAUUGUUCUGACGGUACCCAAAGAAUAAGCACCGGCUAACUUCGUGCCAGCAGCCGCGGUAAUACGAAGGGUGCAAGCGUUACUCGGAAUUACUGGGCGUAAAGCGUGCGUAGGUGGUGGUUUAAGUCUGUUGUGAAAGCCCUGGGCUCAACCUGGGAAUUGCAGUGGAUACUGGGUCACUAGAGUGUGGUAGAGGGUAGCGCAAUUCCCGGUGUAGUAGUGAAAUGCGUAGAGAUCGGGAGGAACAUCCCUGGCGAAGGCGGCUACCUGGACCAACACUGACACUGAGGCACGAAAGCUUGGGGAGCAAACUAGAUCAGAUACCCCUGGAAGUCCAACGCCCCUAAAACGAUGCGAACUGCGAUGUUGGGGCGCCAUCUUAGCACCUCAUUAUCGAAUCCU